GUGGCUACUGCUCGCCCAACGUCAACCUGAACAUCUUUGUCGAGUACGCGAAGAGACUCGACAUAUCUAUUGGGGCAGCCGUGAGGAGAUGCAAGGAAGUUAUCAUCUCAGGAGACUUCAAUACAAAAUCUAACGCAUUGGGUGUCACCAAGACUGACAGAAAGAAAAGGAUGUCUUUAGUGGUUCUGGAUAGGAACCACCUUGUUCCUAUUAGGGUAUUAGGAGGAGUUUCAUGAUACUGCAGAGGAAAACCAUGAUGUGUUGUGUCUAAGAAUGCGAGAUCAUCGGAUUCAUCGAGGAAAGCCUUCGUUCGGAAAGUGAAACGGAUGUUGCUGCUAAUUGGUCAAUUUCCAUGUUGGUGGUUAAAGAAGGAUGCUAGCCGCC
rnacentral:misc_RNA from 1 species